rnacentral:rRNA from 1 species
CCUACGGGCGGCAGCAGUGAGGAAUAUUGGUCAAUGGCCGGAAGGCUGAACCAGCCAUGCCGCGUGAAGGUCAGUGCCCUAUGGGCGUUAAACUUCUUUUGUGCGGGAGCAAUAAUGGUCACGUGUGGCCAGACGAGAGUACCGUACGAAUAAGCAUCGGCUAACUCCGUGCCAGCAGCCGCGGUAAUACGGGGGAUGCAAGCGUUAUCCGGAUUUAUUGGGUUUAAAGGGUGCGUAGGCUGUGAGGUAAGUCAGCGGUGAAAUGCCCCCGCUCAACGGGGUGAAGUGCCAUUGAUACUGCCUGGCUGGAAUGCGGAUGCCGUGGGAGGAAUGUGUGGUGUAGCGGUGAAAUGCAUAGAUAUCACACAGAACACCGAUUGCGAAGGCAUCUCACGAAUCCGCGAUUGACGCUGAUGCACGAAAGCGUGGGUUUCAAACAGGAUUAGAUACCCCAGUAGUC